rnacentral:rRNA from 1 species
CCUACGGGAGGCAGCAGUGAGGAAUAUUGGUCAAUGGGCGGGAGCCUGAACCAGCCAAGUCGCGUGAGGGAAGACGGUCCUAUGGAUUGUAAACCUCUUUAGGCGGGGAGCAAUGCCGGGCACGUGUGCCCGGAGGGAUAGUACCCGCAGAAUAAGCCUCGGCUAACUCCGUGCCAGCAGCCGCGGUAAUACGGAGGAUUCGAGCGUUCUCCGGAUUUAUUGGGUUUAAAGGGUGCGUAGGCGGAUUUUUAAGUCAGCGGUAAAAUGUCCGGGCUCAACCCGGGCCGGCCGUUGAAACUGGGGAGCUUGAGUGGGCGAGAAGUAUGCGGAAUGCGUGGUGUAGCGGUGAAAUGCAUAGAUAUCACGCAGAACUCCGAUUGCGAAGGCAGCAUACCGGCGCCCGACUGACGCUGAGGCACGAAAGCGUGGGGAUCGAACAGGAUUAGAUACCCGAGUAGUC